rnacentral:lncRNA from 10 species
CUAUUUAUUCCUUCAUUUCUGAGUUGUGUUUUCCUGAUUCUUCAUGGUCCAUGUAGAUGUGUUGAUGUCUGUGCAACUGAAGGAACAAUCACCUCUUCCAGUAUUUAUAGACUGCUUUUUGCAGAAUACAUUAUCUUUUGUUUUAUGCUGAAGUAGAGUGCAGCAAGCAAAAAGCAGCAAAAGACACAUAAUCAAAGUACUUGGAAUGCUGACUGUAAAAUUAUGCUGAGAACUGGCUGCAUGAUAAGAUGCUUUUCCUUCCUCUUUGUUAUUUGUAUUAUUUUGUAAAGAUAGGCCAGUGUGAGUAUGUCCAAAUAAGCUAAUAAUCUAUUUCCCUUAAAAUUUCAGCAAAUAUUCAAGAGAAUAAAAAUGUAAGUUAUUGUCCACACAGCUAAUGUUAAUUUUUCAUUAACAUAAUUUAAGUCUCGGUGAUAGUUUGAAAAUGUUCAUAAUGUUCAUUAUCUAAUAAAAUAGAUAAUUGUGGAAUUAUCUAACUCGUAGAAGAUUAAUUGUGGAAGAGUUGUUUGUAUAUUUGUAACUGUCUCGUUUUUAGUAAAACCAAUUUUUUUUUCUGAGUUAAAAUAUUAAACAAUGAAAAAGUAAACUCAAUAAAUGUAAUUCAGUGCCUUGCAUAAUAGAAAAAUGUUAACAAGGUAAAAGCUGUUAAAAUUGGGAUGGUUUCAAAUUUUAAUGUGAAAAUUUCUGUGAUAAUUUAAUCUGCUAAUAUAAUGUUUAACUCUAGAUCUCUUUCUUGUGACAUGGCUCGAUGCAAUUUAGGUUGCUGUCAUUAAAAUUCUACAAGCACAUCAUACAGGCCUAUCUGCAGUGUACCCAUUUCUGCUCUACCUAUGUACAUACCUAAACCUGAAAACAGGGUUGGAGCUCACUUCUUAUGUUCAUCUCCUUGCCCUCCCAUGCUCAUUUGCAGCAUAGUCAGAUGAAGUAUAGUUAACAAACUUAUAGCAAAG